rnacentral:rRNA from 1 species
AUCGAACGCUGGCGGCAGGCUUAACACAUGCAAGUCGAACGAGUGGCGCACGGGUGAGUAAUGCUUGUGACUUUCGCUUAUGGAGGGGGUUAACUACGGGAAACUGUAGCUAAUCCCACGUACCAUAGGAUGAGCCCCAGGGGGAUUAGGUAGUUGGUGAGGUAAAGGCGCAGCAAGCCGACGAUCUCUAGCUGGUCUGAGGGGAUGACAAGGGAGACUGGGAAUGUGGCGCGUGACAGACUGCUACGAGAGGCAGCAGGGGCGAAUAUUGGGCAAUGGGCGCAAGCGUGGUGCAGCCAUGGCAGGGGUAUGAAGAAGGCGGUCGGGUUGUAAAGGACGUACAGUCGGGAGGGGUUACCGACAGAAGAAGCGCCGGCUAACUCCGUGCCAGCAGCCGCGGUAAUUC